GGUUAAGCGACUAAGCGUACACGGUGGAUGCCCUGGCAGUCAGAGGCGAUGAAGGACGUGCUAAUCUGCGAUAAGCGUCGGUGAGGUGAUAUGAACCGUUAUAACCGGCGAUUUCCGAAUGGGGAAACCCAGUGUGUUUCGACACACUAUCAUUAACUGAAUCCAUAGGUUAAUGAGGCGAACCGGGGGAACUGAAACAUCUAAGUACCCCGAGGAAAAGAAAUCAACCGAGAUUCUCCCAGUAGCGGCGAGCGAACGGGGAGGAGCCCAGAGCCUGAAUCAGUGUGUGUGUUAGUGGAAGCGUCUGGAAAGGCGCGCGAUACAGGGUGACAGCCCCGUACACAAAAAUGCACAUGCUGUGAGCUCGAUGAGUAGGGCGGGACACGUGGUAUCCUGUCUGAAUAUGGGGGGACCAUCCUCCAAGGCUAAAUACUCCUGACUGACCGAUAGUGAACCAGUACCGUGAGGGAAAGGCGAAAAGAACCCCGGCGAGGGGAGUGAAAAAGAACCUGAAACCGUGUACGUACAAGCAGUGGGAGCCUCUUAAUGGGGUGACUGCGUACCUUUUGUAUAAUGGGUCAGCGACUUAUAUUCUGUAGCAAGGUUAACCGAAUAGGGGAGCCGAAGGGAAACCGAGUCUUAACUGGGCGUUAAGUUGCAGGGUAUAGACCCGAAACCCGGUGAUCUAGCCAUGGGCAGGUUGAAGGUUGGGUAACACUAACUGGAGGACCGAACCGACUAAUGUUGAAAAAUUAGCGGAUGACUUGUGGCUGGGGGUGAAAGGCCAAUCAAACCGGGAGAUAGCUGGUUCUCCCCGAAAGCUAUUUAGGUAGCGCCUCGUGAAUUCAUCUCCGGGGGUAGAGCACUGUUUCGGCAAGGGGGUCAUCCCGACUUACCAACCCGAUGCAAACUGCGAAUACCGGAGAAUGUUAUCACGGGAGACACACGGCGGGUGCUAACGUCCGUCGUGAAGAGGGAAACAACCCAGACCGCCAGCUAAGGUCCCAAAGUCAUGGUUAAGUGGGAAACGAUGUGGGAAGGCCCAGACAGCCAGGAUGUUGGCUUAGAAGCAGCCAUCAUUUAAAGAAAGCGUAAUAGCUCACUGGUCGAGUCGGCCUGCGCGGAAGAUGUAACGGGGCUAAACCAUGCACCGAAGCUGCGGCAGCGACACUAUGUGUUGUUGGGUAGGGGAGCGUUCUGUAAGCCUGUGAAGGUGGCCUGUGAGGGUUGCUGGAGGUAUCAGAAGUGCGAAUGCUGACAUAAGUAACGAUAAAGCGGGUGAAAAGCCCGCUCGCCGGAAGACCAAGGGUUCCUGUCCAACGUUAAUCGGGGCAGGGUGAGUCGACCCCUAAGGCGAGGCCGAAAGGCGUAGUCGAUGGGAAACAGGUUAAUAUUCCUGUACUUGGUGUUACUGCGAAGGGGGGACGGAGAAGGCUAUGUUGGCCGGGCGACGGUUGUCCCGGUUUAAGCGUGUAGGCUGGUUUUCCAGGCAAAUCCGGAAAAUCAAGGCUGAGGCGUGAUGACGAGGCACUACGGUGCUGAAGUGACAAAUGCCCUGCUUCCAGGAAAAGCCUCUAAGCAUCAGGUAACAUCAAAUCGUACCCCAAACCGACACAGGUGGUCAGGUAGAGAAUACCAAGGCGCUUGAGAGAACUCGGGUGAAGGAACUAGGCAAAAUGGUGCCGUAACUUCGGGAGAAGGCACGCUGAUAUGUAGGUGAAGCGACUUGCUCGUGGAGCUGAAAUCAGUCGAAGAUACCAGCUGGCUGCAACUGUUUAUUAAAAACACAGCACUGUGCAAACACGAAAGUGGACGUAUACGGUGUGACGCCUGCCCGGUGCCGGAAGGUUAAUUGAUGGGGUUAGCGGUAACGCGAAGCUCUUGAUCGAAGCCCCGGUAAACGGCGGCCGUAACUAUAACGGUCCUAAGGUAGCGAAAUUCCUUGUCGGGUAAGUUCCGACCUGCACGAAUGGCGUAAUGAUGGCCAGGCUGUCUCCACCCGAGACUCAGUGAAAUUGAACUCGCUGUGAAGAUGCAGUGUACCCGCGGCAAGACGGAAAGACCCCGUGAACCUUUACUAUAGCUUGACACUGAACAUUGAGCCUUGAUGUGUAGGAUAGGUGGGAGGCUUUGAAGUGUGGACGCCAGUCUGCAUGGAGCCGACCUUGAAAUACCACCCUUUAAUGUUUGAUGUUCUAACGUUGGCCCGUAAUCCGGGUUGCGGACAGUGUCUGGUGGGUAGUUUGACUGGGGCGGUCUCCUCCUAAAGAGUAACGGAGGAGCACGAAGGUUGGCUAAUCCUGGUCGGACAUCAGGAGGUUAGUGCAAUGGCAUAAGCCAGCUUGACUGCGAGCGUGACGGCGCGAGCAGGUGCGAAAGCAGGUCAUAGUGAUCCGGUGGUUCUGAAUGGAAGGGCCAUCGCUCAACGGAUAAAAGGUACUCCGGGGAUAACAGGCUGAUACCGCCCAAGAGUUCAUAUCGACGGCGGUGUUUGGCACCUCGAUGUCGGCUCAUCACAUCCUGGGGCUGAAGUAGGUCCCAAGGGUAUGGCUGUUCGCCAUUUAAAGUGGUACGCGAGCUGGGUUUAGAACGUCGUGAGACAGUUCGGUCCCUAUCUGCCGUGGGCGCUGGAGAACUGAGGGGGGCUGCUCCUAGUACGAGAGGACCGGAGUGGACGCAUCACUGGUGUUCGGGUUGUCAUGCCAAUGGCACUGCCCGGUAGCUAAAUGCGGAAGAGAUAAGUGCUGAAAGCAUCUAAGCACGAAACUUGCCCCGAGAUGAGUUCUCCCUGACUCCUUGAGAGUCCUGAAGGAACGUUGAAGACGACGACGUUGAUAGGCCGGGUGUGUAAGCGCAGCGAUGCGUUGAGCUAACCGGUACUAAUGAACCGUGAGGCUUAACCUU
rnacentral:rRNA from 1 species